CUUUCAUGAAGAACUACUGCGUACCCGUGUUUCUUUUGGUGACUGCACGAACAUGACCGUAUUUUCUGUGUCUGUGGACUACUGUGUGGUGAUAUGCUUUGCUUCAUUCUCUAAAUGCUCGCGUAGUGCUGCAAGCUCUCCCAAUGGGGCAGUGCUGUGGGCCCAUAGCCGCUAUGGCCAAUAUACCGGAGGUCCGAGUGUUUUCAAUACCGAAGGACGACAAAAUGUGAAAUUAGAGCAUGGCAUUAUUCAUCAGGAUGGAAUCGAAUCAUUCUCAGCGCGAUUCUAAGGUCGGUCAACCGUUAGAAGGAACACGCGAGUGCAUGGCUCACACGGCACGCAGCACCACGGGGCCGAAGCUGCGAACACCGAUGCAAAGACGGUACAUGCCCGGUGACGUCAUCUAACGAAAGAGUCGCGUGCGGCCACGCUGUCUUGGCUCUGCCGUGCAGUCGCCCAUCAAGAUCCAUGCAUGAAGUGGUGCGGCAGCGCUGUCACGCGCGAGCGAUUCGAAGGAGUUGGGAGCCAUGCACGAAUUUCAGAGUGAUGGAUUCCUAUUGCAAACAUGACGUGCAAAACGCAGAUCACAGUAUUUAUUCAGGCUUUACAGGAUAAAAAAAGAAUAAACCAAAUGAAAUACAGUUUA